GGACUACUCGGGUUUCUAAUCCUGUUUGCUCCCCACGCUUUCGCACCUGAGCGUCAGUACCGAGCCAGAUGGCCGCCUUCGCCACUGGUGUUCUUCCUAAUAUCUACGAAUUUCACCUCUACACUAGGAAUUCCGCCAUCCUCUCUCGGACUCAAGCGUUCCCGUUUCAAAGGCAAUUCUGGAGUUGAGCCCCAGGCUUUCACCUCUGACAAAGAACACCGCCUACGUGCGCUUUACGCCCAGUAAUUCCGAACAACGCUAGCCCCCUUCGUAUUACCGCGGCUGCUGGCAC
rnacentral:rRNA from 1 species